rnacentral:rRNA from 1 species
CCUACGGGAGGCAGCAGUGAGGAAUAUUGGUCAAUGGACGAGAGUCUGAACCAGCCAAGUAGCGUGAAGGAUGACAGCCCUAUGGGUUGUAAACUUCUUUUAUAUGGGAAUAAAAUGUUCCACGUGUGGGAUUUUGUAUGUACCCUAUGAAUAAGGAUCGGCUAACUCCGUGCAAGCAGCGGCGGUAAUACGGAGGAUCCGAGCGUUGUCCGGAUUUAUUGGGUUUAAAGGGAGCGUAGGUGGUGUGUUAAGUCAGUUGUGAAAGUUUGCGGCUCAACCGGAAAAUUGCAGUUGAAACUGGCAGUCUGGAGUACAGGAGAGGUGAGCGGAAUUCGUGGUGUAGCGGUGAAAUGCUUAGAUAUCACGAAGAACUCUGAUUGCGAAGGCAGCUCACUGGACUGCAACUGACACUGAGGCUCGAAAGUGUGGGUAGCAAACAGGAUUAGAUACCCGGGUAGUC